rnacentral:rRNA from 1 species
UUCGCCCUUUGAUCCCGCCGGACCUGACUGCUAUCGGAUUGAUACUAAGCCAUGCGAGUCAUUGUAGUAAUACAAGGCAGACGGCUCAGUAACGCGUAGUCAACCUAACCUAUGGACGGGAAUAACCUCGGGAAACUGAGUAUAAUGCCCGAUAGAACAUUAUGCCUGGAAUGGUUUAUGUUCCAAAUGAUUUAUCGCCGUAGGAUGGGACUGCGGCCUAUCAGUUUGUUGGUGAGGUAAUGGCCUACCAAGACUAUUACAGGUACGGGCUCUGAGAGGAGUAGCCCGGAGAUGGGUACUGAGACACGGACCCAGGCCCUAUGGGGCGCAGCAGGCGAGAAAACUUUGCAAUGUGCGAAAGCACGACAAGGUUAAUCCGAGUGGUUUCUGCUAAAGGAACCUUUUGUUAGUCCUAGAAACACUAACGAAUAAGGGGUGGGCAAGUUCUGGUGUCAGCCGCCGCGGUAAAACCAGCACCUCAAGUGGUCAGGAUGAUUAUUGGGCCUAAAGCAUCCGUAGCCGGCUCUGUAAGUUUUCGGUUAAAUCUGUACGCUCAACGUACAGGCUGCCGGGAAUACUGCAGAGCUAGGGAGUGGGAGAGGUAGACGGUACUCAGUAGGAAGGGGUAAAAUCCUUUGAUCUAUUGAUGAC